rnacentral:lncRNA from 1 species
ACUCAUUAGAGUCGAGUUACUUACUUGUAUUAGUUUCAGGUGAAUCAGCAAAGUGAAUCGGUCGUGCAUAUAAAUAGAUCCAUUCUUUUGUCCCAUAGAGGUUAUUACAAACUAUUGAGUAGCGUUCCCUGUGUUCUGCAGUAGGGUCUUGUAUUUUAUACAAUUGUGUGUCUAUUUUAUCCCCACCGACCCAAUUCCUCCCUUCCUCCAACGUUUUCUGCUAUGGUCACCAUAAGAUUGGUCUUGAAAUCUAUGUGUCUGUUUUUUUUAAUUUUUAUUUUAUUUUUUUGUCUUUUUGCCUUUUCUAGGGCUGCACCCCCGGCAUAUGGAGGUUCCCAGAAAAGGCAAAAAGACAAAAAAAAAAANAAAAAAAAAAAAAAAAAGAACAAAUUAAUGCCAUUUGCAGCAAAUGGAUGGAACUAGAGAUUCUCAUACUAAGUGAAGUCAGAAAGACAAAGACAGAUACCAUAGGAUAUCACUUAGACGUAGAAUAUAAAAUGUGGCACAAAUGAACCUACCUACAGAACAGAAACAGACUCACAGACCUAGAGAACAGACUUGUCAUUACCAAGGGGGAGGCGGGGAGUGGGAUGGACGGAGAGUUUGGGCUUGGUAAAUGCAAACGAUUCCAUUUAGAAUGGAUCAGCAGUGGGGUCCCACUGUACAGCACAGGGAACUAUGUCCGAUCUGUUGGGAUAGAACAUGAUGGAAGAUAAUAUGAGAAAAAGAAUGUAUGUAUAUAUGACUGGCUCACCAUGCUGUAUAGCAGAAAUUGUCAGAACAUUGUAAAUCAACUGUACUUCGAUUUUUAAAAAUGCACAAAAAUCACGUUUAGCCUCAAGCAAUUUUGUUGCUGCUCGUUCUACGGCUGCUUGCUUCCAGAAUUUCCAGCAACAAAUGCUUUCACUUUAAUCAACGUCCACACACACAUCACACUUUUCAAAUGACUGUGCGGCACCCUCCAGAGAAUUUACUUAUUGAUACGUAUUGCACCUAGUUCCCCAAAAUGAUAAAAUGAAGUAAGUCAGCAUCUGAAACCAUCCCUGGCACCACGGCCACCAGAGCAGGCUGCUUGUCCUCAGCUCCUUUACCUCAUUUCUGAACCCCAAUCAAAGCCUCCACAGGGAAAAGUUUGGCAGCUUGAAGACAGAGCUAAUCCCCUUAUAAAUAGCUGUUCUUCUAAAUUGCCAGAAAAUUGAAUGGAUUAUAACACAAUAGAGCUAUAAAAGUUAGUGCCACCCUAAUAAAUGUCAACCACACGUCUCUUGUGAUUAUUUAAUCUCCUUCAGUCAAUUAUAUAAAUCGUGUAACCUAACUAAUGAAUACAACAGGAAGGAGAUGUAAAAAGAUUCUUCUACAAAUUACAAAGUUUAUGAGCGCCACAGGCUUUCCUUGGAGAUACUGUGGGUUCGAUUCCAGAUCCCCACAAUAAAGCAAGUCACGUGAAUCUCUUGGUUUCCCAGUGCAUAUAAAAGUUAUGUUUAUACUGUACUGUAGUCUAUUAUGAGUGCAAUAACACUGAGUCUAAAAAAGCAAGGUACGUACUUUAAUUAAAAAAUACUAUACUGCUGGAGUUCCUUUCGUGGCACAGUGGAAACAAAUCCGCCUAGUAUCCACGAGGAUGCAGGUUAGAUCCCUGGCCUUGCUCAGUGGGCUAAGGAUCCGGCCUUGCUGUGAGCUGCUCUGUGGGUCGCAGACGCAGCUCAGAUCCCGAAUUGUUCUGGCUGUGGUGUAGGUCACAGACGAGGCUUGCAUCUUGUGUUGCUGCGGCUCUGGUGUAGGCCGGUGGCUACAGCUCCGAUUGGACCCCUAGCCUGGGAACCUCCAUGUGCCUCAGGUAUGGCCCUAAAAAAAAAAAAAAAAAAAAAAAAAAAUUAACAAAAUAAAGUAAAAAAUACUAUAUUGUUUGGAGCUCCCAUUGUGGCGCAGUGUUACCGAAUCCAACUAGGAACCAUGAGGUUGCAGGUUCGAUCCCUGGCCUUGCUCAGUGGGUUAAGGAUCUGGCAUUGCCGUGAGCUGUGGUAUAGGUUGCAGAUGCGGCUCAAAUCCCUCACUGCUAUGGCUCUGGCGUAGGCUGGUGGCUACAGCUCGGAUUUGACCCCUAGCC